GAGGGUCUGGCUCUAGUGGUAGAGUGCAUGCUCAGCAUGCAUGAGGUCCUGGGUUCAAUCCCCAGUACCUCCA
rnacentral:tRNA from 1 species